rnacentral:rRNA from 1 species
UACGGAGGAGGCAAGCGUUGUCCGGAAUUACUGGGCGUAAAGAGCCCGUAGGUGGUUUGUCGCGUUGUUCGUGAAAUCUCACGGCUUAACUGUGAGCGUGCGGGCGAUACGGGCAGACUUGAGUACUGCAGGGGAGACUGGAAUUCCUGGUGUAGCGGUGGAAUGCGCAGAUAUCAGGAGGAACACCGGUGGCGAAGGCGGGUCUCUGGGCAGUAACUGACGCUGAGGAGCGAAAGCGUGGGGAGCGAACAGG